rnacentral:rRNA from 1 species
ACGAACGCUGGCGGCGUGCUUAACACAUGCAAGUCGCACGGAAAGGCCCUGCUUUUGUGGGGUGCUCGAGUGGCGAACGGGUGAGUAACACGUGAGUAACCUGCCCUUGACUUUGGGAUAACUUCAGGAAACUGGGGCUAAUACCGGAUAGGAGCUCCUGCUGCAUGGUGGGGGUUGGAAAGUUUCGGCGGUUGGGGAUGGACUCGCGGCUUAUCAGCUUGUUGGUGGGGUAGUGGCUUACCAAGGCUUUGACGGGUAGCCGGCCUGAGAGGGUGACCGGCCACAUUGGGACUGAGAUACGGCCCAGACUCCUACGGGAGGCAGCAGUGGGGAAUAUUGCACAAUGGGCGGAAGCCUGAUGCAGCAACGCCGCGUGCGGGAUGACGGCCUUCGGGUUAUAAACCGCUUUCGCCUGUGACGAAGCGUGAGUGACGGUAAUGGGUAAAGAAGCACCGGCUAACUACGUG